CGGUCACGUCUUCCAUCGGAACUCUCUGUCCCCUCGGAGCCUGGUGUACGAAAGUGACUUCUCCACGAUCGAGCCUUCUUUGGACAUGUAUGAUGAGAACAAAACCUGAUUUUUUUCAAACGGGCUGUUGGGGGUCACCUCUUUUGUGAUUUGAUUUAUGAUCACCUUUCUUAUUUUGUAUUCUUCUGUCAGCGUCCAUUUUGGAAGAAUGGCAGUGCUUUCCAAGCACAGGCUGGGGCUCAGGGUUAAACUGCACAGUUCCCCCCCCGGUGAGGCUUUGAGGACAGCUUUAUUGCCCAGGUGGCCUCAUGGCACCGAAAACCUACCCAAAGCUGGCCACUGAACGUGGGCCCCGACAAGCUUGGCUGUUUUCGGAGAAGAGGCGGGGCUCAGGGGUUACUGUUGCAUUGCGAAUGUGUCUGUGAAUAACCACCUGCUAUUCCGUGUCGGGGUGACGUUGGGGUUUUUUAAAUACCUUUUGUGCUCCCCACUUAUGAUGCAUACUAAAGUCUGCAGGUGCCGCUUCUCACUGAUGUGGGGCACAAGUUGCUGCUCCCUGGCCUGCUCUGUAUUUUCCUGUCACUUAUUCCACUUCUGGUUAAUGGGCCUCUUUCUAAAGGUUCCUAAGAGAAAGCCUUGUCUUUGUCCCUGUCUGAGACUGACCACCCAGGGCACCACAGUGGAGCUGCGGGCUGUGUGGGACAGGCAUCAUUCGUGUUGUCAUUUCCAGCCUCCCCCGGAGAGCGAGAGUAAGGUGACAAGUGCUUAUGUGGCUGCUGAAACACUGAAGGCCCUCCCUGACCGUGAGGCCAGUGGACUUGCCUUCUUGGCAACCGCGGAGGUGUGUGGGGUGGUGGUGCUGGGGAGGCCAGCCGGGCGGUCUUCCCCAGGCACAGUGGUCCCGGGGUGGCAGCCAGUGGGUGUCGAAGUCAGAACGUUCUGAGUACUUUCUUGAGGGAAUCAAACCGCCUUCUUGCUGUUAGACCCCAGAUAAACACCCUCUUCAGCCCAGGCCUCUCCUGCCAGCCUCGGCGUCGCACGGAGCAGGCAUGCGAGCUUACAGGAAAGGACGCGGCGGCCAGCGUGGGGGACCUUGGGACACGUGUGCUCCUCCCGCAUGCCUGGGAUGACCUCAAGCUAACGCCACAAGAAACUUGUACCUUUAGAAUCAUCCCAACACAGGACCACGAUAAGCAAAUUUAUAAAAACACAUUGCGCAUCCUUUCUGCUCAAGGACACACCAUCUCUCAUCGACACGAGCCAUGUGAAGAUGUGAGUGUAAAUCCCCAGCCCCUUGGAUGAGACUGGAAGCGUCGGUUCCGUGUGCCCGGAGUUAGAUCUGGCAGCAAACCACAUGGACUCGCCCUGGUUAUGCUUACUGACUCCGGGACAGAAGUUUCCGGUGAACACUUGCCAUUUCUCCGUGUGCGGCUGGUUUCUCUCUAUCAGCGUCUCCUCUCGUGAUGUGUUGCCAAGAUGCCUCAGGCCCUGUUGUGCCCGGAACAAACCCCCUCAGAGAGCCAGAGUGUGACAUUGCCUUGGAGUGACCAGCAGCGUUUUAUUUCUAAUCAUUUGAGGCUGAAACAGUGCAGAUUUGUAAGGUCUUAGCAGCUUUUUCUUUUUACCUUUAACCAAGGGCUUUAAUUUGUUUGUUUUUUCCUCUUUAUAGUCUUUGUACUAUAAAAAUAUUUUUGAUAAACAGUUCCAAGCAAGCACUGUUGAGAAAGACAGGUUUGCCCCACUGGCUUUACAGCAGGAGACUCUGUCUCAAGGAGAUGCCAGGGGUUCCAGACACGCACCUGCGUUUGUAUUUGGUUUGGCUCAUCUGACAGAGAAGAGGGCUCAGUUCUGACCACGUUGUCCACACCGUGACCUUGUUUUCCUGAACCAGAACUCAGAUCUCAGCUGCGUGUUUUCUUCUGGUUUGUACAGUCUUGCAAAAGCACGUCCAUUAAAUUUCACUCCAGAUAUUUAUUCCUCCGCUGAAAAGAAAUGAAAUGACUUCAGAAGAAAUUAAAAAUUCAAGCACCUCAAAGUCCACCUAUUAAUACAAUAUUUGAAUUUCUGGUAAAUCUAGGGCACACCCUCAGUGUCAAAUGACCAGUUUCUUACAGGGGAAUUAUCUCAGAAUAGUGCUUCAGAUCCCAGCUUGACACCCUUUUCCUAAAAAUCGGGGCCACUCUCCUGCUCAGCUACAGAAUGUCUUGCCUUUGUCAGGAGGGACAGUAACUUCUCCGUGAAGGUCAUGUACUCUGGGAGUAAUGAGGGUAGCACUUUUCAUCCCAAACAGCAAAGCCGUCUCGGCUGGCAGCUGGACCAAGGAGAAGUUCUCGGCGGAGCCACCCAGGGACCCUGGCAGGGCUGCCUGCCCCGUGAGCUUGGUGAGUGCACACUUCUCACCGUGGGCAGCCCUGCCUGUGAGAAGCUUGAGGUUCGGGGAGCAGAGUAGACUGCUCUGAGCUGGGUCCGGCUCCAGCCCCUGCCUCCCGGCAUGACCUCCACCUUGCCCCCAGGCCACACUCGGUGCAGAACCAGCAGACACCACAGGAUGUGUGUGGAGUGGGGUCUGGAGCAGCCAGAACCAUCAGCUAAUCAGCUUGGAACUGGAUUGUGACAGCUGAAAUGCAGGCACUUACAGUUUGACGAUUUAGAACUUCCUAAGGGGAGAACUGCCCGUGGCCCUCCUGUCCUGUCAUCUCAGGGAGCGGGGAGAGGCAACUGGACAGCAGGAGGGUCAGGCUUGGGGGAGUGAGUGGGCAGCACGUCUGUCCAAGGCUGCCUGCCUCUGCCCGCUCAGGGGAGGACAAGCUCCCCCCAAGAUGGUCAGAACCACCUGGCAAAGUCGGUGAAUCCAGCCUCUGAGGAAAGGCUCCAUCUCCCGGGCCCUCCUCAGGCCUGGCUCAGAGGCGCGUCACAGGGCACUUCCCUGGACACCAGUUUGAACUGAUGCACGCAACAGCCCAGCUUCCGAAAGAUGCAGACGCAAGGGGUUUAAGCAAAAUAAGAGUACUAAAUUUCGCUAACUUGGUAUUUCCCGUGGGCUUUGUAAGCUCUUCUCGUAUUUUUAUUACCCUUUACAUCCAGUUCUUUCCUUGAUCUACAAGUUAAGUGAAACUGGUUUUAAUGGAAGAAAAAUCAAAAUGUUAUCUGGCUUACAGUUCCCCUUUAUUAUCCAGGCAGCGGUCCUGCUGCAGGACAACAAGGAGGUGGUGUUAGAGUCAGGUCACCUUGACAGAAGGUUGCUGCUUGUAAAUGUCAUGAAACAAAUACUGUGUUUCCAGGAAGUAGCAUUUAGAAGGAAAAAGGCAGGGCUAGCAGGCCUUUAGUCAGCUCCCACUGUGUGCCACACACAAACACAGGCAGUUAAGGUGAAUCCAGGGAUCAUUAGGAAUUUGGCUGUUGUGGGAAACUGGCACAUUAACAACCAGUUGGGAUGUGAGACCAGAUGAAACAAUGGCGGAUGGCGAGGGGCGUUCCCUUGGGCAGAUGGAGGGGCGUGGCGCGGUAGCCCCGCCCACGGGACCCCUCGCUUGCCGAGGAUGCAACAGCUUCCGUGAAGACAGGCCAGGUGGAGCCGAGACCAGCAAGGCUGUGGUUUCACCUCCUGGGCAGGGAGGGCUUUGCCGCGGGGAGGGCCCAAGUCUGUUUUGGAGAGAGAGGGAGCUGGGGUGGGAGUGGGCCAAGGAGGCCCUGCUGUGCCUGGGUGCCGGGGUCUGAUUGACAGGGAAAGUGGGGAGCCACGAGAUUGAAGCAGAAGCCAGGAGCAACCUCGGUGACUGGGUGGGUGUCGGAGAGACACAGGGAGAGAGCCACCUUGGGUCUGGGGGCUGCUGGGGCCUCAGGGGAGGCCUGGAGAUGCAGCUCUGGGUCUCAGGCAGAGGUUUGGUGAGGCGAGGGUGGUCAGCGUAUGGCCCCUCUGUGCAUCAGAACCCUGGGAAGCUGUGUUUUAAAUGUACAUGUCACUUCGACCUGCUGUGACCACUUCGACUCUCCAUGUGACCGCAGUCCCUCAGGCGCCCCACAUCGCUCCCUCUCCCCCCUCCCACACACACACUCUCUAGAAUUAGACUCAGGCCUGGUGUUCCUAAGCUAAGUUCAGAUGAUGACUGAAGCCAGAAUGGGGCUAAAAUUGCCCAGUGAUCUGAGAACCAGGCUUGGGAUAAAGCCCUGGGGACGCUGAUAUUGAAGGUAUGGAAGAGAAGGAGCUAUAGACAGAAGCUGAUUUAGAAAAGCCACUGAGUGUAAAGGAAGGUUGGGCUUGGUGAAUCAUUCCAAAGCCCACUGGGAAAAGGAGGAAAUGAGUGUUGAGUACACACGUUCACAUAACGUCCAUGGGUGUGGCUAGGAUCCCCUCCACAGGGCUGGAAAAUGCCUUAGACGUUUUAAGUUUCAUAACAUCAGAGAAAACACAGAAUGACGGAGACAGAGGUAAGGUGCGUGUUUGCUUCGUGGAAUUGUUCUUCUCUUACUGUCCUACAAAACGGCAGGAAAAGCAAAGCGAGCUGGAUCCCACGACUAAGGGAAGAAGGGUUUCCCCCACAGGGGCUGUGUCCCCAGCCCGCCGGCCCCUAUCACUUCUCUGGGGCUCUGGGUCCCCAGCUCACACCAGCCUCUUAGAGCCUGAGUGAGGGGGGCUGAGUGCGGUCAGGAGCCCCACUGUGGCCCUGGGGCUCCUCUGGGGCUUUGGUCAAGUCAGGAGGUCUGUCUGCUUUCUUCGGGGUGCCCUGAAAGAGCCCAACAAACUGAGCCUUGAAGAAGAGAGCCCCGUGGGUCCCCAGCAGACGCGGGGUGAAGGCAGUCAGAGCUGCGUCCCACCAGCCUCAGUGACCGUGCAGGGGAAGGGAUGUUGUCAGUCUCAGCUACUGAAAGGACAAUGUGUCUGUCCAGGACUUGACUUUCAUGGCCCCACAGGGCUCUAGGGGACCCUCCAGUCCAUGACCUGGGACUCAUCUGGGGUUUGGCCUCUGCUCAAGCCAUUUUUUUUCUUCACUCCAACUUGGGGAAGAGGGAAGAUACUUUAUGACAAAAAACAAAAACACCUUGAACUUCAUGCAAACUUGAGGAUUAAAGUCUCAGAAGGAUGCAGUGCUGUUGGGGUCACUCAGACCCCUGUCCCAGCCUUUCCUACUUCCUCCCCUUGAAUCUUCCACAUGCAUGUUCCACAAAGGACAGAGGUUUCGGGCAACAUGGACCCAGGCUGGCAGCCUGAAAGGCAGGACUUCCUCAGACACAGAGCCCUGAGAGACAUUGCUGGGAGCCCAGAGGCAGCUGCCGGGGCGUGCGUGUGCAAGCCAAGGGUGGCGUCCAGCGGGAAGCGCCUUUAUAAACCGCACACACUCUUCUUCUGCGGAAAGCCAAGAGCUGGAGGAUAUCAUCUGCACCCUUUUCUCAGCUGUGGCGGACCCUUGAUGAGUGGGGACACAUCUUUCAGGGUCCCCCACUGUUUAACGCUGGGCGGGAGUGGCUCAUUUCUCACCGUCCACUGCGGUCCAUGUGGGUGGGCAUGUGUACAGGGAAGGGGCCUUUGGGUCAGCUGGCAGCCUGACUGGCCUUCGUCAGCUCCUUACCCCUCAGCUGAUCAUCGCCCUCUCUCUCCAGCUCUCUUUACUGGCAGCUGCUGAGAGUGGCAGAUGAAUGAUCUGAGCAAUGUUUUACAAAUUUAACCCAACACCAAGGGAAUUCUAAUCUGCUUUUGGAAUGAUCCUUCAUCAGUAAUUAAGCCCAAGGAUAUUUACACUAUGUGAUAUUAAAGGACUUUUAUAGUGACUGGGCGCUACUGAGCCAAGAUGUUUGUCAAAACAGAAAUGGGGAGGGUAGGUAGACUCUUACAUCCGAGGCCAUUUCUUUCCCUUAAGGUGAGUGAGCUGUCCCUAAGCAGAAAGGCUAACUGCCUAGUGCCUACCAGCCUGCUGUGCGGACCAGGUCACUGGGUGUGGCCAGUGCCAGGGUCCCAGCCUCCCAGCCUGAGAUGACACAUGCCAUCCUGGAGAGGAGUGGAGCGGGUACCAUGUCCAUUCAUCCCCUGGCAGCCCAGGCCUGCCUUGCUGACCCACCUGGAGGAGAGGCACCGUUGGCCCGUGCUUAAGGCAAGAAUCUGGUGUCUUAAGCUGAGCGUGCAAAGCAGGGUCUUCUCCUGAGUGGCAAUGGCUCUGGCUAAAGAAACUCGACCAUGAUCACAGGAAUAGGAAAAGAUUCCAAGCUAGGAAAUGCUGUUUGGACUCCAGGGGACACUGUCACACUGUCACCACCUUAUGGAACAGUCUGUUACUGUACAAGAGAAGGAGAUGGUCCGAGCCCCAGGCCACAUAUGUCACAAUUGUUUUUGACCCUCAGUAGCUUUUAUAUAUAAAAUAUUAAAGUGAACCCCUUUCACAUUUGGGGCGUUCGGAGAGCUCCUCUUACUCUGGGUUCCUGCUAACUAUGCACAACAUCUCAGAGGACAGCAUCCAAAGCUAUUUUUCUAACUAUAGCACAGGGAAUUUGGGGUGGGGGAGGCUUGGGAUAAACCUAAGUGUGGCAAAUAGCUUAUCGUCCACCUUGAUGGAUGGAAGGUUACACAGUGCACUUGACUUUAGUUCACUAUUGGAGAGCUUGUGCCAGGAAGAACGCACAUCAAAUCUCCAAGAAGCAGAAUUGAUCAUUAGCUUAAUUAGGGGGUGCACAACGGGGGGGGGGUCACCGUGUCUAGAACACGGGCACCUGCAAUGAACGCGAGCUGAUUUCUUGGCCAUCAGAUCUUAGCCCUUUGAAGUGUUCAGGCAGCACAACUCCUAGGCCCAUAUGGUUGAUGUAAGCAUAGUUAAACCGUGAACCUGUACGGUGUGUACCUGUAUGCCGAUAGUGUAUACCUGUAUAUGUGGGAUUUACUAAUGUAACCAUUUCAAUAAAAACCUAUUGAAAAAGA